AAUCCUAAUCUUUUUAACACCAAAACAGCCGCCACCUCCCAUUUUUUCUUCUUUCUCUCUCUUCAAACCAACAGCCGACGUCACCACACCACCGCCGGUAGCGGCUUUUUUUCUCUACUACCAGCAAAUAUCAAUCGUCACCUCCUAGCCACCACGACUGCCGCUUCUCCGUCCAGCUACCGGCAGAACAACACCCGCCAUUGACAGGAGCCCAACGACCAGCGUAAUAUUUGCUGCAGAGUGGUUAGUAAGAUGUUUUGAUAUGAUAAAACAACUACAGUUCGUGGUUCAGUUACAGUUUGGUAUAUUUAACACCCUAACUGACCGAGAGCGGAAUUGGGCAUCUGUACACAGUUACAGAACGAGCGACACAAAAAUAAGAGGAUGAGAAAGGAAUUGAACUUAUUGAUGAAGAAUGUAUACAAGAAAUCGUCUUUAAAUGAUGACCCGCCAUCUCAAGAAGACAACAAAGCUUAUGAGGAUGAAAGUGAUGAUGACUUUGACGACAUGAAUGAAAGUGACUCUAAUUCUAAUAACGUGGAUGAAAGUGAUUUUGACCCUGAUGGUUGGUAGUUUUAUUGAGGAUUCAAGUUUGAAAUAUUUUGUUUUGGACCAGUUAAGAAUCAUACAUUAUUGAUGUGGAUGUUAUGAAUUAUGUUUUUUUGUUAGCUGUAAUGGUUUACAUUAGACUUAUAUUGAAUGAUGUUUUUGAGAA